rnacentral:rRNA from 1 species
GAUGAACGCUAGCGGCAGGCUUAAUACAUGCAAGUCGAGGGGCAGCAGCUCUGUAGCAAUACAGAGGCUGGCGACCGGCAAACGGGUGCGGAACACGUACAGAACCUUCCUUUAAGCGGGGAAUAGCCCGGGGAAACCCGGAUUAAUACCCCAUAGUAUAAUGAAAAGGCAUCUUUUUAUUAUUAAAGAUUUAUCACUUGAAGAUGGCUGUGCGGCUGAUUAGAUAGUUGGCGGGGUAACGGCCCACCAAGUCUGCGAUCAGUAACUGGUGUGAGAGAACGACCAGUCACACGGGCACUGAGACACGGGCCCGACUCCUACGGGAGGCAGCAGUAGGGAAUAUUGGGCAAUGGACGCAAGUCUGACCCAGCCAUGCCGCGUGCAGGAUGAAGGCGUUAUGCGUUGUAAACUGCUUUUAUACAGGAAGAAACGACUCUUGCGAGAGGCAUUGACGGUACUGUAUGAAUAAGCACCGGCUAACUCCGUGCCAGCCGCCGCAGUAACAC